ensembl:lncRNA
UAAAAAUGAAAUAUAAAAACAGUGAAAAAAGAACAUGGUUGGGCAUCACCAGUAGGAGGGUCCAUCAACGUGCACAGCUUGAAGCAUGCAGAGCUGCGCUGGAUUGGCUGGAGAAACAGCUGGCCACGCCUGCAUCGUCAGCAGCAACUCACCACACCUGUGAGGAACAGACGGGAAACAAAGACAUGGCGGAGGAGAAAACACAAACCCAGCAGCCGGACGUAUGAAGAAAAUGUAAACCCCACUUUCACGUCAAGGGCUACGCUGGAUUGAUUCACACGUAAUCCAAUUUAAAGAGACAUUUAAAGUGCAAAUAUGCCCAAACAUAAUAAUGUAUCCAUUGACAGUAUGUGGUGAGUGAGUAACUUACAAAAUUGUGC